rnacentral:lncRNA from 1 species
AAAUUAACAAAUUAUUUUAUCCAAAAACUUUACUAGACUUAUUUUUUGUCAAAAAUUUAUUUGAUAGGUAUAUUAGAUAUUCAAAAGUGUCAUAUGGAUGAUAUAAUUUAUUUACUUUGAUACUUAGUAAGAACAAUAAAUUAUAAUAUUUUAUAUUAUAUGAAAGAAUCUAAUAUUUUUUUUGGCUAUAUUAUUUUUCUUAGCUCAAAGAAUGUACUAAUUAAAAAUCUACAUCAAGCUAUGUAUUUUCUUUGAGGUCUUGCCAAUUACCUAUAGUUCUAAACAAAUAAUUGAUUGUUAUGCUAUUGUAAUACGUGAAGUCUUGCUUCAGAAUGCUCCAAGUACUUGGCUGUGGAAAGUAGAAUAGAAAUUGCAACAACAAAAUCCUAAUUCUAAUAGAACACUAACAAUGCUAAAGAAGCUUUAAUUAAAUUCAAAGAAACCUCAAAGGAAUUCCAAAGUAACAAUAAAAAAUCUUAAAGAAAUAUUAGAAUGAUAACAAAUAUAUCUCAAAUACAUCUUAAUUCAAUCUUAAUUUAAUCCUAGUUGAAAUCUUACUUCAUUCAAACUUUAGGCCAAAAACUAACUAAAUCUUAAAUUCUAAAUAAAUUCAAAUAAAAUCCUAUACUCUAAAUCAAAUCUUGAUUAAAUCCUAACAAAACCUUAAAUCCCAAAUCAAAUCCUAAAUCCUAAAUCAAACCCUAAUCAAAUUCUAAAUCCUAAACUAAAUCCUAAUCAUAAAUCAAAUCCUAAAUCAAAUCCUAAUUUUACAUCAAAUCUUAAUCAAAUCCUAAUCAAAUCCUAAUCAAAUCUUAAACCCUAAUCCUAAAUCAAAUCCUAACCAAAUCCCAAUCCUAAUCCUAAAUCCUAAACUAAACCCUAACCAAACUCUAACCAAACUCUAACCAAACCUUGAUCCUAAACCAAACCCUAACCAAAUCCUAAAUCCUAAACCAAAUCCUAAUCUUAAAUCAAAUCCUAAUCAAAUCUAAACCUUAAUCCUAAAUCCUAAAUCAAAUCCUAAUGAAUCCCUAUCCCUAGAUCAAAUCCUAA